AAGAGAGAGUACAGCUAAAAAAGGAAAUCCUGCAAGCCUCCAGCUCCAGAUCCAAGACCCGGCCACUCAGAUCUCGCCGACCAAUCCUACAUCUCCAUCUCUCUCAGGAUCAUCAGAUCUGCAGCGAUCGCAGCUCAGAGAUCGGCAGAUCCACGGGAUCUGCAAAAACCCGAGAUGAAUCAGCCGGAAAUCGUUCGUGGAGGUCCGAAAAUUUUGGAUUAUUAGGGCAGCGCUGCUCGAUCUCCAGCUAUGUGGAUCGUCAAGCCGUUUAUGCAGAAGGAGCAGGCUGG
rnacentral:misc_RNA from 1 species